ACGGUCCUAAGGUAGCGAAAUUCCUUGUCAGGUAAGUUCUGACCCGCACGAAAGGCGUAACGAUUUGGGCGCUGUCUCAGCUGUAGACUCGGUGAAGUCUUAGUACCUGUGAAGAUGCAGGUUACCCGCGACUAGACGGAAAGACCCCAUGGAGCUUCACUGCAGGUUGAUAUUGGGAUUUGAUGCAGCAUGUACAGGAUAGGUAGGAGGCAAAGAGAUGGAUACGCCAGUAUUCAAGGAGCCGCUGUUGGGAUACUACCCCUGUUGUAUUGGAUUUCUAACCGGACGACGUAGAGCCGUUGACGGGACAGUGUCAGUCGGGCAGUUUGACUGGGGCGGUCGCCUCCCAAAGAGUAACGGAGGCGCCCAAAGAUACCCUCAGCUUGGAUGGAAACCAAGCGCAGAGUGCAAAGGCAAAAGGGUGUUUGACUGCGAGACCCACAAGUCGAGCAGGGACGAAAGUCGGGCUUAGUGAUCCGGCGGUGCUGAAUGGAAAGGCCGUCGCUCAACGGAUAAAAGCUACCCUGGGGAUAACAGGCUGAUCUCCCCCAAGAGUUCACAUCGACGGGGAGGUUUGGCACCUCGAUGUCGGCUCAUCGCAUCCUGGAGCUGGAUUCGGUUCCAAGGGUUGGGCUGUUCGCCCAUUAAAGCGGUACGCGAGCUGGGUUCAGAACGUCGUGAGACAGUUCGGUCCCUAUCUGUCGUGGGCGCAGGAAAUUUGAGAAGAGCUGUCCUCAGUACGAGAGGACCGGGAUGGACGCAUCAAUGGUGGACCAGUUGUCACGCCAGUGGCAUAGCUGGGUAGCUAAAUGCGGAAGGGAUAAACGCUGAAGGCAUCUAAGUGUGAAACCCACUUCAAGAUGAGAUUUCCCAUUGCGCAAGCAAGUAAGACCCCUUAAAGACGAUAAGGUAGAUAGGUCAGGAGUGUAAGCAUGGUGACAUGUUAAGCGGACUGAUACUAAUAGGUCGAGGGCUUGACCGA
rnacentral:rRNA from 1 species